GAUUGAACGCUGGCGGCAGGCUUAACACAUGCAAGUCGAGCGGGGAAGGGUAGCUUGCUACCUAACCUAGCGGCGGACGGGUGAGUAAUGCUUAGGAAUCUGCCUAUUAGUGGGGGACAACAUUUCGAAAGGGAUGCUAAUACCGCAUACGCCCUAAGGGGGAAAGCAGGGGAUCUUCGGACCUUGCGCUAAUAGAUGAGCCUAAGUCGGAUUAGCUAGUUGGUGGGGUAAAGGCCUACCAAGGCGACGAUCUGUAGCGGGUCUGAGAGGAUGAUCCGCCACACUGGGACUGAGACACGGCCCAGACUCCUACGGGAGGCAGCAGUGGGGAAUAUUGGACAAUGGGGGGAACCCUGAUCCAGCCAUGCCGCGUGUGUGAAGAAGGCCUUUUGGUUGUAAAGCACUUUAAGCGAGGAGGAGGCUACCGAGAUUAAUACUCUUGGAUAGUGGACGUUACUCGCAGAAUAAGCACCGGCUAACUCUGUGCCAGCAGCCGCGGUAAUACAGAGGGUGCGAGCGUUAAUCGGAUUUACUGGGCGUAAAGCGUGCGUAGGCGGCUUUUUAAGUCGGAUGUGAAAUCCCCGAGCUUAACUUGGGAAUUGCAUUCGAUACUGGGAAGCUAGAGUAUGGGAGAGGAUGGUAGAAUUCCAGGUGUAGCGGUGAAAUGCGUAGAGAUCUGGAGGAAUACCGAUGGCGAAGGCAGCCAUCUGGCCUAAUACUGACGCUGAGGUACGAAAGCAUGGGGAGCAAACAGGAUUAGAUACCCUGGUAGUCCAUGCCGUAAACGAUGUCUACUAGCCGUUGGGGCCUUUGAGGCUUUAGUGGCGCAGCUAACG
rnacentral:rRNA from 1 species